UUCGGGGGACAAAGUGACAGGUGGUGCAUGGUUGUCGUCAGCUCGUGUCGUGAGAUGUUGGGUUAAGUCCCGCAACGAGCGCAACCCUUAUCUUUAGUUGCCAUCAUUAGGUUGGGCACUCUAGAGAGACUGCCGGUGACAAACCGGAGGAAGGUGGGGAUGACGUCAAAUCAUCAUGCCCCUUAUGAUUUCGGCUACACACGUGCUACAAUGGAUGGUACAAAGGGCAGCAAAACCGCGAGGUCAAGCAAAUCCCAUAAAACCAUUCUCAGUUCGGAUUGUAGUCUGCAACUCGACUACAUGAAGCUGGAAUCGCUAGUAAUCGUAGAUCAGCAUGCUACGGUGAAUACGUUCCCGGGUCUU
rnacentral:rRNA from 1 species